rnacentral:rRNA from 1 species
UGGGGAAUAUUGGACAAUGGGCGAAAGCCUGAUCCAGCCAUGCCGCGUGUGUGAAGAAGGUCUUCGGAUUGUAAAGCACUUUAAGUUGGGAGGAAGGGCAGUAAGCGAAUACCUUGCUGUUUUGACGUUACCGACAGAAUAAGCACCGGCUAACUCUGUGCCAGCAUCCGCGGUAAUACAGAGGGUGCAAGCGUUAAUCGGAAUUACUGGGCGUAAAGCGCGCGUAGGUGGUUCGUUAAGUUGAAUGUGAAAGCCCCGGGCUCAACCUGGGAACUGCAUCCAAAACUGGCGAGCUAGCGUAGGGCAGAGGGUGGUGGAAUUUCCUGUGUAGCGGUGAAAUGCGUAGAUAUAGGAAGGAACACCAGUGGCGAAGGCGACCACCUGGGCUCAUACUGACACUGAGGUGCGAAAGCGUGGGGAGCAAACAGG